rnacentral:rRNA from 1 species
AACGAACGCUGGCGGCAGGCCUAACACAUGCAAGUCGAGCGAGGACUUCGGUUCUAGCGGCGGACGGGUGAGUAACGCGUGGGAAUGUGCCCUUCUCUACGGCAUAGCCCUGGGAAACUGGUAGUAAUACCGUAUACGCCCUAGUGUGGAAAGAUUUAUCGGAGAAGGAUCAGCCCGCGUUGGAUUAGGUAGUUGUUGGGGUAAUGGCCUACCAAGCCGACGAUCCAUAGCUGGUUUGAGAGGAUGAUCAGCCACACUGGGACUGAGACACGGCCCAGACUCCUACGGGAGGCAGCAGUGGGGGAUCUUAGACAAUGGGGGCAACCCUGAUCGAGCCAUGACGCGUGAGUGAUGAAGGUCUUAGGGUUGUAAAGCUCUUUCAGCUGGGAAGAUAAUGACGGUACCAGCAGAAGAAGCCCCGGCUAACUCCGUG